GGAGGUGUUGCUAUACGUCUCUUAAUUUUGUGUCUUUGAUGGUUUACCAAAAUCUCCGUGCAAGGCAAGACUGAUAUAUUUGAUGUUCAAAAAGUGCAACUCAUAAGUCUAGCUUAACUAGUUGUUCGUCUUUAGUGUCCCUUUAUGUUUCCCAAGCAUAAACCUCUGGAAAGAUUUUCUGACAGCGGUGUGUGUCUCAGAGACAUUGCAGAGAUUAAAAUAUCAUAUAUGCUUUAUAAAAACGGGUUUAGUAGGGGGUUUCAGCAGUAAAACAUGCUAUGUCAGGGUGUCUUAUGACUUAAAUAAGCUAUAGCUGUUCCUAAACUAUACACUGACACCUGCUCCUUUUCUCUGCCUCAUGUACCUGCACUUAGCAGGUGCCUGUGAAUAUUGUGGAAUCUAUUGUGUUUUUUUGGUGGGAGGAAGUACCAGAAAUUUGGAAGACCUUUAUACUUAUCCAUGUAAAUCCUCUCUCAUUAACAUAUUUUCGGCAUCCAAUCUUUCUGACAUCCACUUUUGGCCUGUUUCGGAUAUCACACUGAAAUGUGUAAGACUUCCUUUUGGGAGAAAGUGUGCCAUAUUUCUAAUGCGACGCCUGCAGUGAUUUCAGACACUUCCAUUUACAAUUUUUCUAUUUCUGCUUAAUAGUUCAAUGUUUCCUUUUAUUUUUGCCAUUGAAUGAGUUUUCAUUGUCAUAGGAGAGUACUUCUCGGGUAUGUAGAUUGCUUUACCUGUAUUUAUUUUUGCUUUGUUCACUUUCUGUUGUGUUCUUGAAAGUACCAUGCAUUUCUAUGGCAAACACUGUUUUUCAUGCUAUAUUUUUGAAAGAAGUUACUAUGGGAUAAUGUUCAGCUCUGGAAUGCCCGAGAUAUUUCUUCUUAUAGUUGAGUCCCAUUUAGACAAUUCACUAUUAAAGAGGUCCUGAAAAGCUUUUUGAACAUAAUAAAAUGUUGCCGAUCUAUCCUAGAGACUGCUGUGAACCUGUGAGCCCAUAAUUAAUGCUCUGCAUGCAGCAGGCAAUUUACAAUCUCGUGUAAAAACAGCAGAAAAUCGCUUACUCUAGCUUCUGCAAUGUCGUCUUGCAGUGUCAUCGCAAGUAGUUGGACCCACCAACGCCAUUAGCUGAUUUCGUGAUCACAUUAGCGUUCUCAGUAAUUCAUAAUUUCUAUAUUUUUUAGUUAAGUAAGUUAAACAUAUAAGGCCGGUGUCUCAAGAAGACAGGAAAAUCGUUUCACCUUUGAACUGCGAGUCUACACCACAAUGAUGGCAGCAGCGUGCUGCAUAGUGUAGUCUACCGCGGCCGCCAUGUGGUGAUGUGAUGAGCCCUUUCACCACUGCGACACUCAACUUUUGGGUGGGGCUUUGGCCUUUUGGUUUCUCUGCUGUGUAACGUUGAGUGCUCUAGCAGAGACGGAAAGAGAGAAAGAUAACUCCACUUAUAGUUCCCAAACAUUUUUGUGGCUGGCGUGAAAUUCUUGAAAUGUCCUUUAAUAGUCAGGCCAUUCUAUGAUUAGAUAAAGUGUUUCAGGGCCCCUUUAAGACUAUUGUCCUUGUGACAAACCGCCAAAAAAAAAAAGAGAAAUGUGAGAAAUGACUAAUGUGAAAAAAUGUGUUCCUGGUCUCUUAAUUAUCUCAAAAUGGGAAUCAAUUGUAUGUUUACAACUUUGUAUAUGCUCGACUUGUAAAACAGGCCGAUAUAUUCAGUUAUGUAUGUUCUUUGUCUUCCCUUUGAUGUCUUUGAGCUGUGGGAGGAUACUAUACUUCACUUUUUCCUUUAAGUCGACAGGUUUGCUGUUGUAGAACUCCCCGAGGAGGACUGCAGCUUAGCAGUUGUUCACGGUUCAUGGUUGAAUGAGAAAAGAAAUAGGACAUUUUGGCCUACUUUGAAAAAUCCAUCUCGGCGGCGUAGAGCCACUGUUGAGGGUGCUGCACCAUCCCCUAGCUGAACACAAGCCAACUAUGUGGUGAAAUCCUGGGCUGGUAAGGUCGCACUAUUGUUUCUGGGAUUUCCUAUUGUAAAGGUUUCCUUUUUCAGGCACUUACAAAAAGGCGUGUGAAAAACAGAACUUCCUGCAAUAUAAUUCGGACAUGAGCUGUGACGAGGAAUUGGGAUGCGGAAAAAGAAAAAAACGAAGUGCCUUGGCUUAUGAUUACAGCAGUGAACGAGACACGACUGACAGCUCGGGUGACGCAAACUACGAACCUCCCAGGCCACCAACACCGCCUCGACUAUUGACAAACAUUGGUGGCUAUGACCCAGCUGCUACCCACGCGUUAUUCAAGACGCCUGGACGACACCAAAAGAAACGCUCUGCAGCUUCAGCUGCUUUGGCGAGUCCUGCCACUGAAAUUUAAAUGUACAACAGCAACUUUAUGCUGGUGCAUCUGCGAGUCCUAGGCCUCUGUUCGGAAGAGCUGAUGGAUCCGAGACCGAAAGUGUGCCAUUGAGACUUCAUGCUGGCCCAUCUACCACUUCCUCGGGAUUACAGACGGAUCCGCAACUGCUUGGUAUGAUGUCGAUGUUUGACCUCUCAUGUUUGCUUUGAAUGGCGUGGUUGAUACAUCUUGUCAAACACCAGAAUUUUGAGCAGUGUGACACAGCACACACAUAAGAGGCAUAGGAUAAAAUGCCGCCUGGGCUUGUUUUGUGUCCUGUGGUAUUGUUCAACAUUCUGCUGUUUGUAUUGAGUGAUUUCUUACCAACAUGCUUCUUUACUUUUUCAAGACGCAUGCAAUGCUAAAAGACGCAGCAUGGUGGGCUUGAACAUGACUCGCAAAUGGAAUUAUGAGGCACUCCUCACUUUCAAUUGUUUUGUAUGAGCAUUGCAGAUAUGUUGACAUAACUGAUCUUGAUGUGAAAAUAUUAUUUCAGCAUUUAUGGAGAGGAUAUUGUCCACCCUUAAUACAGUUAAGGUUGUGCAACAGACGCACACACAGCUCUUGGCCAAACUUAAGACUAAUGCUGAAGAAGUAUGCCCAGAGAGCCAAAACCUUCCCAAUCUGCCAUUUUUGACCACAAGAGAUAUGGUUGAUUGGGAUGCUGAACUCGGGGUCAACAAGGACGCAAAGCUUUGAAUGGUAAUAAAGCUGUUUGCCUUCAUUUUCUCACUGUUUUCCGCAAAACAGGUUACAGUGCAAGCUAUCUUUUUUUUUUUUUUUUUUCACCGAGCGUUAUUUGUAUAACACUUGAGUGAUUUACUGAUUAUUGCUGAUCUCAUUUUCUGCCACAAAAGACACAUGGUUGUCCAAGGUGGCAACACCAUAAAACAGAAGACUGCACGUAUUUUAAAGAGUGUCAUGUCUUUGGAUGUGGCAAAACAGUUCAGUUGGUUUGGCACUAAAGGAAAAAUUAGGUUUUGUGAGCUGAAUGUUUCCAAGUUACUGUGCAGUGUGCAGUAAGUCUUCUGCUACAAUAUUAUCACUUUCGUUGUCUACAUUGUCAUAGCUCAUUUUCCUCGCACCCUUGACACUUAUUUCCUUAUGCAGCCUGCCUGAUAGAUAACAUCAAGCAGAAUCAGGAGGAGGCUGCAUUGAAAAACAUCGAAAAAGCAGCCAUGUCUUGGUUCCGCCAUGCCGCAAAACGUGCAGCAGCAGGGCAACAAAGACCAUUGAACAGAACUUCAGAACAGGACGAUGAAGCCCACAUUUCUUGAGACAGUGCAUCUUAAUUACUGCUCAACUUUGCAAUAAAUACUUUUGGUUAUCACUUCCUGUUGUAUUUUUGUUUCUUGGUUUCAGAAGCUCUGGGUAGAUUUCACAUAAUUGCCGUCCCAUAAGAGUGUGAAGCAGUUAACAAAAGAAAAAAACAACUACAAGAGAUUCUAAUUACCUCCCAAAAAUUGUGCUAUCUGGUACAUCCCAAUAACCUCCCAGGAAGGUCCCAAAAACCUCCCACGAUGAUCCCAAUAACCUCCCAGUCUGGGACAUCCCAGAAAAGUCUCCUUU